rnacentral:rRNA from 1 species
AUAUUAAAGAGUUUGAUCCUGGCUCAGGAUGAACGCCGGCGGCACGCUUAACACAUGCAAGUCGAACGGAGUUAAGGAGCUUGCUCCUUAACUUAGUGGCGGACGGGUGAGUAACACGUGAGCAACCUGCCCUUAAGAGGGGGAUAACGUUUGGAAACGAACGCUAAUACCGCAUAAUAUAGCGAAGAGACAUCUCUUUGCUAUCAAAGAUUUAUCGCUUAAGGAUGGGCUCGCGUCUGAUUAGGCAGUUGGUGAGGUAACGGCUCACCAAACCAACGAUCAGUAGCCGGGCUGAGAGGCUCAACGGCCACAUUGGGACUGAGACACGGCCCAGA